UCUACUUUGGCAUCUCUUCCUGUUUCGGUAAUAAUUCAAAUGAAACUAGUGUUUAGUAUUUAGACAUCAUAUGAUCAGAUUUUUUUUUACAACAUAUUAUAGUACAUAUGUCCAUAGAAACUGUCAUUGUUACCACAGAAUCAGCAUAAUGAUGCUAGAAGAGGGGACAACUGCCUUUUCAGAUAAGGAAACUGAAAGCAGAUGAAAUUAAAUGACUUCUCCUGGCUUACAGAGUUAGUCGGUACAUGGCAGCGCUGGGUUGAAAAACCAGGGUGGGCCCUAAUCCAAUCUGUCAUUAUAAGAAGAGGAAAUUUGGACACAAAAAGAGACACCAGGGGCGUAUGUACACAGAGAAAAGAUCACGUGAGGACACAGAGAGGUCUGCAAACCAAGAAGAGAAGCCUCAGAAGAAACAAAACCAGCCAACCCCUUGAUCUUGGACUUGUAGCUUCCAGAAUUGUGAGGAAAUAAAUUUCUGUUUUAAAGCCA
rnacentral:lncRNA from 10 species